rnacentral:rRNA from 1 species
GACGAACGCUGGCGGCGUGCUUAACACAUGCAAGUCGAACGGAAAGGCCCUGCUUGCGGGGUACUCGCGUGGCGAACGGGUGUGUAAAACGCGGGUGAUCUGCCCUGCACUUCGGGAUAAGCCUUGGAGACUGGGUCGCAUACAGGGUAGGGGCCAUCUUGCUUGUGAUGGGUGGAAAGAUUUUUCGGUUUAGGAUGAGCUCGCGGCCUAUCAGGUUGUUGGUGGGGUAAUGGCCUACCAAGGCGGCGGCGGGUAGCCUGCCUGGGGGGGUGGACGGCCACAAUGGGACUUGGAUACGGGCCAGACCCCUACGGGAGGCAGGAGGUGGGAAUAUUGCAAAAUGGGGGCAAGCCUGAUGCAGCGAAGCCGCGGUGGGGAUGACGGGCUUCGGGUUGGAAACCCCUUUCGCUAGGGACGAAGCUGUGUGUGACGGUACCUAGAAAAGAAGCACCGGCUAACUACGUG